UCGAGAAUUUUUCUCAAUGGGGGAAACCCUGAAGGAGCGACGCCGCGUGGGGGAUGAAUGGCUUCGGCCCGUAAACCCCUGUCAUUUGCGAUCAAACCUUACGACCUAACACGUCGUAAGCUGAUAGUAGCGGAAGAGGAAGAGACGGCUAACUCUGUGCCAGCAGCCGCGGUAAUACAGAGGUCCCAAGCGUUGUUCGGAUUCACUGGGCGUAAAGGGCGCGUAGGCGGCAUGACAAGUCACUUGUGAAAUCUCUGGGCUUAACCCAGAACGGCCAAGUGAUACUGUCGCGCUAGAGUGCAGAAGGGGCAAUCGGAAUUCUUGGUGUAGCGGUGAAAUGCGUAGAUAUCAAGAGGAACACCUGAGGUGAAGACGGGUUGCUGGGCUGACACUGACGCUGAGGCGCGAAAGCCAGGGGAGCAAACGGGAUUAGAUACCCAUGUAGUCCCUGAGCGGGCUGGCAAGGCGCAU
rnacentral:rRNA from 1 species